CACAAGCAUCGCAUUUAAGCUCAGGUGUCUCAGUUAAAUAUUGUCAAAUACACACAGCCUUAAGGACAUAUUAUAUAAUUUUAAGGAUCAUACAAUUUAAAUUAUACUAGCAGAGAUUUUCAUUUAAAUAUGGUAUAUUUCCCUCCUUACUUGUCAAUACUCACCUUCAUUUAAAAUGAUAUUCCUUAGCAACAGCUCGCAGAUAUUUUCAAAUCUAUGCACCGAGUAUUGCGAUGAACUCCCACAAACUGGACCAGCGCCAAAUUUACAGACCGGCACACGAUCGCUAACAGCCGGCAAGAUGCGUAUAUUAUGUGGCAUUGCGUCCAAGGAAGACUGUUCGCUAUGCCCCGCUCCAAAAGGCUGGUUGUACUGCAAUAUGCUUCUCAUUAGUCCUCCAUGUGAACUGAAAACAUCCUCAUUCAUAUAGUUUGUGUUUUCUAUGUUUGGUGUCCACAAGACAUCACUGUUCAAUUGCUGCUCGGGUGCGUUCAGUUGGAAGAACUCGCGUAGUCUUCUGCGCAGAUGCCCUCCGAGAAAAUGUUCCAUUCUGUAAAAGGGAUAAAUGGGCUUUACUCCUCAGCAGCGCUGGCUCGGUAUUUUUGGUAUUUAUCUUGUGUGUGUGUGUGUCUUCUUCAUACCUUUGUUCAAUAUUACGUUCUCUGCAUUCACAAGACAUUCGUUGAUAAAUGUCGAUUUGACGCCAAAGAGUUCAGCGCAGACCGGGUUAAAUAUCUUGGGGCAUGGUUAAAGGGCUUUCCUUUAGUUGCUGUAAGUGGAGUAGUUUGGGUGGUUGAGGCUGGAAAAGUAGGAGCUGAACUUUUCAGCAGCUUGACACAAGCAUCAUCGUUUAUCAAUUGCCAAUCUGAAAUAUGGACGAAAUUUCGAAAUUUAGACAACAAGAAAUAGAGUCAAGCGUGUCUUUGACAUAAAUAGGUACUUGAUAUUUGGGCGAGUAAGUUAUGGAUAGGAUUUGAUUACGACUGUGAAAAAUUAUUAUUUAUUGAGCGUUUACUUCAACUUUUGUAUCGUUAGUCGAGUUAUAAGUAACACAGGCUCUUGCGCUAAUGCGAACUCUUUAAGAGCUUGUCAUCCAACAAGAAAA